rnacentral:lncRNA from 12 species
UCCAUUUAGGGUGCCAAGCUUAGGCUGAUUGAGAGAGAUUGUUGCUCUGCUCUUUUGGCAAUCAGAGAUUACCAAGUGGGCACUCUCUCUGCUCUUCAAAAUUUUGGUCAUAAUGCCAGUUGCCUACUUUGAUGUAAUGGUGAGUUCUGCUAAAGUCUCUGUAAUAAAUAAUUUAUUUACUAAGAGUGAAAGAAAAAUAGAUCAUUUGUCUGUGCUUACUUUUGAGGCUUUCCCUGAGUGUGCUUGUGGUAAGUAUGUGUAUCUCAGUGCAAAGGAAUUACAGCUUUGAUAAGGUGUCUUCCCUAAAUAUGAUAGAAAGUCUUGCUGCACUCCAAUGAGCAAUGCAGUAAAUCUGCCUCAGUUAUUAUCACUUCAGGAACUGUCAUAAUUGACCUGCUUCCUUGUGGCUGUAAGGGACAUUGAACUGUGUUACUGUAAAAAGCCUUUUCACUCUCCUCUCAGCCCUGUCUGGGACUGAAGGAUGGAAGGAAAAAAAUUGGUUACUGCCAUGGAUGUACAUGGAGGAGGCUUGAUGCCUCUAUUCUAAGGUAUGGAAAGAGACUGUGUUAUUCCUGGAGGCAGAAUGGAAAGCAAGGCAUGGAAAUUUUAUCUGUACUCAUUUUUUCAUACAGGCAAGUGAGAAAUUACCAACACAUCUGGACUGGGCUUUGCCUUGGCAACAAGGAGGGUGGGUUUGGGCCUAACAGGGUUUGAUUUUGUUGUUUUUUGGCUUUGUUUUUUCAUUUUUUCCUUCUCCUUUACAGACUCCAUCCUGAUGACUUUGGCAUUUGUGUGAAACCACAGAGUGGUAGAUGCAAGAGGCAGGAUUGCAAGCUCUGAAGUUGGCUUUGGGAAUAAAUUGUGAGAAGACAUGUUUUCUUCUGAGCCACUUGUUUUGUACUAGCAAGAGAAGGCAGCCUCCUUUAUUGCUCAAUAAAGGACAGCUCUGCAGUGAAGUGUGUGUCUUGACAGAUGAAAAAUAUGCCUUGGCAAGGAAUUGCUCCAAUGAGAUGGGUGUAGGGAAGGCAUUCCCAUCACCUCACGGACUUAGGGGCAUAAUGGCAGCUUGGACUGUGCAAAUCACUUUAUCCAACAGAUGAAGCCCUAAAAUGUUAUUGGAGCAUCUGAAAAAGGAAGACAGUCUCUAAACUCAGGAGAGAUAAAAGUGUUUUUCCAAAGCACAACAAAGCAAAAGUUUUUUUCUGACCCACACUUGUCUUCCUGAAGUAGCCAGUCUGAAACCUUGUGCACAUGGCUUCUAAAAGCCCUGAAAUGUCAGUGCCUCCUGGUGUGUGGAGAUGAAACAGAACAUUAAUUUGGUAGUUUUUAAGAGUCUGGCAUGGUGUCAAAAAUGAUCAUCAGUGUGUUAUGAGGGAAAAUUUGUGUUUGCUGUGAUCUAAUCUCUUCUGCUCAACAGUCCAGUGAUGUCAUUUAAGAGAUGAGAGGAAAUGAAGAGUGUUUGGUCUUUGUGCUGAUAUUGUUGGGGUAGAGUUAAUUUUCUUCUCAAUAGGUAGUGUGGGUCUGUGUUUUGGAUUUGUUCUGGCAACAGCUCUGAAAAUUCAGGGAUGUUUCACUUAUCGUUGAGCUGUUCUUAUACAGAGUCAAGGCCUCUCCUGCUUCUCACACCACUCCACCAGCGAGGAGGCUGGGGGUGCACAAGGAGUUGGGAAGGCACACAGCCAGGACAGCUGACCCCAGCUGACCAGUGGGAUAUUCCAGACCAUAUGGCAUUGUGCUCAGCACAUCAAGCUGGAGGAAGAAGGAAGGGUUGCAUGAUGUUUGCCUUCCCAAGGCACCAUUACACAUGAUGGAGCCCUCCAUUCCUGGGGAAGGCUGGACACCUGCCCAUGGGAAGUGAAUUAAUUACUUGUUUGGUUUUGCUUGUAUACACAUGGCUUUUGCUUUCCCUAUUAAACUGUCUUUAUCUCAACCCACAAGUUUUCUCACUUUUACCCUUCUGAUUCUCUCCCCCAUGCCACUGUGAGGGAUUGAGCA